UGCAAUGGCAUCUGAUGUCCUCUUCUGGUGU
rnacentral:piRNA from 1 species